rnacentral:rRNA from 1 species
AGCAGCCGCGGUAAUUCCAGCUCCAAUAGCGUAUAUUAAAGUUGUUGCAGUUAAAAAGCUCGUAGUUGAAUUUCGGGGUUUACCCGUUGGUCGGGCUUUUGGGUCUGUACUGGCGUGAUGGAUUCCUACCUUCUGAAUAACCAGCAUGCCAUUAAUUUGGUGCGCCGGGGAAGCAGGACUGUUACCUUGAAAAAAUUAGAGUGCUUAAAGCAGGCUAUCGCCUGAAUACAUUAGCAUGGAAUAAUGAAAUAGGACGCAUGGUUCUAUUUUGUUGGUUUCUAGGAUCACCGUAAUGAUUAAUAGGGAUAGUUGGGGGCAUUAGUAUUCAAUUGUCAGAGGUGAAAUUCUUGGAUUUAUUGAAGACUAACUUCUGCGAAAGCAUUUGCCAAGGAUGUUUUCAUUAAUCAAGAACGAAAGUUAGGGGAUCGAAGACGAUCAGAUACCGUCGUAGUCUUAACCAUAAACUAUGCCGACUAGGGAUCGGACGAUGUUAAUUUUUAAUGACUCGUUCGGCGCCUUA